AAUUAAUGAGCUUGUACUUAAGCGUAUACUUUGAAAGUAUAAGAAAGAGUAAUUUCUAUUAAUUU
rnacentral:tRNA from 1 species